GCUUGCUUUCAGCUCCCGAAUUUUUAUUGUCUGUACUUUUCCUGUAGUGAAGUAGUUUCAUAGCUCAGCAAAGCCUCAGAAUUUUUUAUGAACAGUCUCUAAAAGGCAGCUAGAUCUAGCUCUAAGACAUCAAGCAAAUGACCCAGGACUUGUUAUUUUUCUUGUUGGUUUCUGCGUAGCUAAGGCAAAGGCUUUUUCUUGGCCUCCACUCAGCAAUAUGCAAAAAGCUGAAGCUUUUAAAGUGGGAGAAGAAACAGAAGGAACAGAGGAGAUUUAUAACCAGAGGCAUCAUUUCUUUCUUGUUCGUUACUGCAAAGAACAAAACCCGCACAAAGAAGACUCUCAGGAAAUGCUGGCUGAAUGACAGAAUGAACAUUGAUAAAUGAAGACUUCUUCAAAUAACUGAUGCUAGACAUCUCUAAAUAUAUCAGAAAUAACAUGUGACCAUGACAUCAUUCAUCAUUUUUCCAUCAAAACAUUUGAAAAUAACUUGGAUUCAUUUAUUAGAGCUUUAUUUUCCCACAUCUUGCAGUACCCUAGAGUUCUACAGUAAUUAACCUUAUGCUGAAUGGCAGAGGACAUGCACUAAGCUCCUAUUUAAAAUCUAUUCAUGAUGCAUUUUAAAUAUUCAGUAGAGACUUCUUAAACAUGCAGCCAUAGUCUAUUGAAAAUGGAUUUCCUAAAGCCAGGAGAUUGGAUAUUAAUAUCUGGCAUUCGUAUAAAGACAGGUUUUUGUUAACCUAUUAUAAAAAGGACUGAUGAUGUGAUUAUAUACUGUUUACUAGCUCACUUAUAUUUCUGUGCUAAUAAUUACUGUAACCCAUUUGUUUAGUUUUUUUAUUUUAUUUUCAUUAAGCAUUGUUUUUAAAAUUUUUUUAUCUUAGCUUAUGUUUGAUUUAUGUUUUUGAUUGAAUAAAGGUUGUUUGUUAAUAUAGAAU
rnacentral:lncRNA from 10 species